rnacentral:lncRNA from 1 species
UUGGGGGGGACAAGUCAUAUUUUUCCCAGGAUGGGAGGGUCGUGUCCCCCACGUCCCCCCCGGGAUUUCCUCCCCUGAUCUGAGUACUCAGAUUGCCAAGCUGGUGGCCCAGUGUGAGGUCUGUACAAAAUGUCAACCUUGUCAUCCGGAGGCAAUGAUGGCAACGGAGCUGCCAAAACGGCCAUGGCAAAAGGCAAGGGGUCACUGAGGUCCUGGUUACAGAUAACGCUCCCUAGUUCUCUGCAAGCUCCUUUUCUGCUUUUGCCACAGAAUAUGACUUCACACAUGACCAGUAGCCCCUACCAUGCACAGAGUAAUGGCAGAGAGAGGCAGAGAGAGCUGUGAAAACAGUCAAGGGACUGAUGAAAAAGAACAAGGAUCCAUACAGGGCUCUGUUAGCUUACAGAGCUACACCACUGCAUCAUGGGCCGUUGCCUGCCGAGCUCCUGAUGGGCAGGAGGCUGCGUUCCUCAUUGCCUGUCUCGCCGGCUCAGCUUAAACCCCGAUGGCCUAACAGGAAGGCCUUCGCUGAGAGAGACAAACGGCUGAAACAAACGCAAACUGGAGACUUUAAUCAGAGACACCGUGCUAAGGAGAGGCCAGAGCUGACCGAAGGUCAACGUGUGUGGAUUACAAACUCAGACACCAGCAAUAGUGCUGAGGAAAGAGGAUGCCCCACGCUCCUAUGUGGUGGACACAGGCUCAGAAGAGGUACGAAGGAACAAAACACACCUCAGAGCUCUUCCAGCCACACAGGCCACAGAAAAUGCACAAAAAGAGGGUGAAGGAGAGAGAAUGCUCACAGAGCCACAAACGAGCCCAAAAAGGGAUGUGAAGCCACCAGAGUGGCUGAAAGACUAUGUUAAGUGAAGAGAAAACAUACUGUUGGGGACCAUACCCAGCAAAAAGAGACUGUACGCAAGUUAAUGUUCAUACUGUGUGAUUUAAUGCUUUCAUACUGUUUCAGGAUGUGAAGUAGCAUGCUAGAGAAUAAUACUGGUUUCCAAAUUGCAUUUCAGUUAUGCUUCAGUGGUUAUGCAUGUUGAGUUCUUGUUCAUGGGAGAGGGGAAGAUGUAGUAGGAUGUCCCUUGGGGGUAUCCGUACCUAUGUAUGACAUGCGAGGAUUAGGUUAAUAAACAGGCUGGAGCUAGAACCUCGUUGUCGCGCGUCCUUAUUUUAGAUCAUACUACACCUACAAUAUCAAUGUGUCAAUUAAGCAAUUUCUGGUGGUCGAGCUGUGUCUCCUCCGCUAAAGAUUCGCUUCCAUUGUACAUUUCAACAGAAACCCGUUUAUGUUAGUGAACUUUAGUCUGAUUUGUUAACUAGCUAAAGUAUAGUUCAAUUAACCACCAUGCAUGUUCAUAACAUUAGCUAGCUACACAACUCACAUUCAUACUUCUUGUUGAUCGCCGGGUAUUUUGACUUGGUAGCUUUCUGUGACUCUGUGAGAUCAAGCUCACGAUCAUCCAUUGUCGACCUUAUUUAGUUGAUUUGAUCCCUAAAAUACUGAAAUGUUAGACUUGCCAAAACUAUAACGUUACGUGCUUGGCUUGAGUCGUAUGCCGCGUGCAUGUGCUAGUCGGAACUAAGAAACUCGACAUGUCCGAGUCGCUAAAAGUGUUACAACUAACUAGCAGGUCGGACAUUCCGAGUUUACUAGUUCAGACUAGCACUCGAAUGCAGAAACAUCACGUCGCUGUGUAGUCACGUAGGUCUCGCGUCAGCCAGGCUACUGAAAGGUAUGCCGCAUUCAGAAUAACUGGGAACUCGGAAAACUCCGAUUUCAAGGCAUUCAAGACAACUGAACUUGGAAAAAAACAACUCCGACUGGGAAAAAUCGUUUUGAACAUUCAUCCAACUCGAAAUUUCAAGUCGGAAAUUGGGGUAUCUUUAUAGAGCUCCAACUUUCCGACGUCAGGAUUUGACCUAGUUUUCCCCGAGAUUGCAGUUGUCCUGAAAUCACCACUGUACUUGCUGUUGAAACAAAAUUGACCGAUUCAGGAAGUAACAAAGAUAUCUCGCGUUUUGCGAUCGUCGGAUAUAUAUAGAUAUACAAUCUGGAAUAAUAGAGACAUAAAAUACAAAAACAAGUAUUUAUUUUUCCAGGUCUGGUUUGACAACAGCAUUAUCUGGGUUAAACAAUUACUGAAUAAUGAUGGACAACUAUAUGAUUAUCCAGAAUUCAUGAGAACACACGAUGUUACAUCCACUCCUGAGGAGUUUCAAAUAGUUGUUAGAGCUGUCUCUUUUAAGGUGCUAUUCUUCUUUUAGGAGAAUAUAACAAUACUCCAAGUGCAACUGUUGAGGAUUUUGUAGCACCAAUUCAGCUAGAAGGAAUUUACAUUUUAAACUAUUAAUGUAAUAACAUAUAUAAGAAAACUCUGUCAAGAUGUAAACUAUUCCCUCUGCUAGAAUAUACAAGAAUGCAGCCCUAGGACAAGUGAAAUGGAAGAAAGUUUCGUUGUUGUCUAAUAAGACGAAAUAAGUAUCACACAAACUCAUUCUUAGACUGUACCCUGUAAAGACCUUUAUUGUACACAGAUACAAAAUUGCUAUU